AGAAAUGCGGCGUGGAACCCGGGGGACUGGGGUGGUGAGGAAGGCGGAGGAGGUGCGUCUGAGGCCGUCCGGCCGCCCGCUUCCCCUCUAGUCAGCCCGGAGGAGCUCCCCCCACCCCCAGCCCGGGCUGCGGUGCCGGAGAAGAGAGAGGAGGCUGCGUUAGGCGGCUGUUUUCCAGUUCACUUUUGCAGACCAAGGCAGAGAAGAAGAGCACCAGCUCCGCUGCCCCUCUUGGCUGCGGCGCACUCAGCCCCAAGCCCCGCGUGCGCUCUGUCUCGGAUACCGAGCCGGCCAAAGUGUCCGGAAACGCGCAGAGCGCUCGGAGCCUGUCCCGCAGCUGUGCGACGCGCGUCUCGAGUUGGCCGCUGCCGCCCCGCCCUCGCGCUCCUUCAGCCCCGCGGGCGGAGAAGCCGGCCCGCCCGCCGGCGCGGAGCCGGGGAACUUGAACUGGCUCCAGCGGCCGCUCUGCCGAGAUCCUGCUCCAGGCCCGGGGGUGCUCCGGCUCGGGGUGGAGGGCACGCCCGGGAAGUGGAUUUAGCAAACACACCUUUGAACAGAUCCAGGAGACCAGAAAACCUUACCACCCACAUCUACUCUUCAUAAUCAAGUCAUUGGAUGAAGAUAGGCAGACUCAAGAGAAGAGACAGAAGCCUACAGCACUGCAACCAACUGGCCAGGAUGCAGAGAUUUCAACAGGAAACAGGACCUUUAUGAAUGAAGCACAUUAUUUAUCUCAGUGUGGGGUAAGAAGAGAGAAAAUGAGCUGCUGGAGAAGGGACUGAGGUUCACCUUAGGAAGAACAUCCUGUCAAUAACAUCGAAGCUCUGGAGAAUCUCAUGGAAGGAGCUUCAGGGUUUUGGUCAACAUUCAUUCUACCAACAUUUACUGAGGACCUUCUGGGCAUUUCUUGGUUUGUGUCUAAUUCAGUCACAGAGCUAAAUCAGGAAGAUUUCACUCAAAUGCUUCUCUGGAGGGUUUCCCUAACUUGAAGUAUUGCUAUCUCUUUUUUCCCAACUUUUCUUCUUAUUCUCUGCCACCUAUUAAGGUUCACAGGGC